CUUGUGCAUUGCAGGUAAGGUGAAGGAGGGAACUCGUUGCUGUUGUGCAGUUCUGCAGCAGGCAAGACCUGAGCUGCAUAAAAAAAAGCAUUUAUCUAUGGCAAUGUUUUUGUCACCUUUUUGAUACUUUAGAAAUAUUCCUAAUUCAUUGUCUUCCAGGUAGAGAGGUUAUUUCUAUUAUAUAAAUGAUAUUAAAUAUGUAUAUUAAAAUGUAAUGUCCUUUGGACAGUUCUAACUUGUGGGAUGAAAUGGCAAGGCAGAUGGGGAAAAUGUCUGUGGGAACAGGGGAGUAACUGGAAGAUAAGUGAAAAAAACAGGAUCUGACUAUUAAAGACAUCUGGGAGGUUUGUAUGUCUAAAAAAUUUGGGGAUUUACAAUCACAACAUACUAUAAAACUGGAGUUGCAAAUCAAACUUCUCUUACUUUAUAUGCCUUGCAGGGGGAGUGAGCCAUGUUUUGUGAGUCAAACGCAGAACAAAAUAGAAACCCCCAAAACACCCCAAGCACACUGGGAAGUCACCCAGAGAGAAGAGAUUACGUUUAGAAGAGCUUUUGUUCCCAGUGAGCUAAAGAUAUUAAUACGCAUCUGGUAUACAAUGAUAUCAGCAUACUGAAUUGCAGGAAGAGCAGGUUAUUGGGGAGUCAGGAUCUGUUGUUGAGAUUUGUUUGUACUCAGUAUUUAGCAAAAAGAAAAGGAAUAUAAUUAGAAGACUGUGAACUGGGUUAAGAGUUGUUUCUUCUAAAGAAGAAACAAUGAGGAGAGGAUGUCUGCUGAAAUAGUCUCUUCAUGCAGGCAGCUCAGAGAUGUCCACGGAAGGAAAUCUGUUCAGUAGCCCAUAAUCGCUCUGAGUUCCAUGUAGAUGUUGAUCUUUUGUUCAGCUGAUUUCCUUUUGGUAGCUGUUUUCUGCUUUGCAAUCAAGAGAUAGAAUAAACGGGACUCCUGCUUUUCCUUAUUCUUAUCAAACGACAGAGGAAUCUUAAGGCCAGGUGUUGGUGUAUGCUAGUUGCUCUCCAGGGAACAAAAGCAGCAAGCAGGUGGAGACAGAAUGGUUCGCUUCCAAAUGUUUCAGAGUUCUUGGGCUUGGGAUGUGUUGCCUCCUAGCUCAGUUCGACGCAAGGUGGUGGCUUGCAAAAGGAAGCCUCCCAUGGCAGCCUUCAGCCAGCAUAGCUUUACCAGGCUCCCGUUGAAAUGAAGUGAGCGUUUAACUCAGAUGAUAACUGUGUGUCUUGUGGGUUCCUUCACAUCUCCAGUCCGGUUACUGGGAAACUUUCUCCUCCAACCACCCUUUGACUGUCUAUAAAUAAGUGUAACAAAAAGGGUACUGAGUAUUAAUUCACAGUGAAUCACAGCUGAACAGUAUGAUCAGUGAAACAAAAGAAUUUGUGAAGAACUUGAAAGAGAAUACCACUCAUCAUCAUGGACAGCUGAUGAAGAAGACCGAACCAGGGAAGAGUGGUUGAGAUUCUUUUUUUCUAGUUAAAGGAAGCAGGAGAUGUUCUUGCUCUAGCAAACAGCACUGACAUGAUCAAGAAUCUCUGAAAAUCCCUGGAGAGAUCUCUCCAAGUGAGCAUUGAAUUAACUUCCUUUCCUACUGUUCCACUCUGUACAAAAGAAG
ensembl:lncRNA